rnacentral:rRNA from 1 species
UACGUAGGUGACCAGCGUUGUUCGGAUUUACUGGGCGUAAAGGGCGCGUAGGCGGCCACCGCAAGUCGACUGUGAAAUCUCCGGGCUUAACCCGGAAAGGUCAGCCGAUACUGCGGGGCUAGAGUGCAGAAGGGGCAGCUGGAAUUCUCGGUGUAGCGGUGAAAUGCGUAGAUAUCGAGAGGAACACCUGCGGCGAAGGCGGGUCUCUGGACAGUUCCUAACACUGAGGCACGAAGGCCAGGGGAGCAAACGGG